ACAGCCACAUCACAUUGAAAUACCGGUUCUUAUAUGAUCAUCAAAGUUAAGCAAUAUUGAGCCUGGUCAGUCCUUAGAUGAGUGACCAGUUUGGAAUACCAGCUGCUGUAA